rnacentral:rRNA from 1 species
ACGGCUCAGUAACACGUGGACAACCUACCCUGAGGUCGGGGAUAAACCCGGGAAACUGGGUAUAAUACCCGAUAGAUCUAGAUCGCUGGAAUGCUUUUAGGUCUAAAGUUCCGACGCCUCAGGAUGGGUCUGCGGCCUAUCGGGGUAGUAGUGGGUGUAAAGUACCUACUAGCCUACGACGGGUACGGGUUGUGAGAGCAAGAGCCCGGAGAUGGAUUCUGAGACACGAAUCCAGGCCCUACGGGGUGCAGCAGGCGCGAAACCUUUACAAUGCUGGCAACAGCGAUAAGGGGACCUCGAGUGCUACGAUACAAUCGUGGCUGUCUAGUUGCCUAAAAAGCAAUUGAUAGCAAGGGCCGGGCAAGACCGGUGCCAGCCGCCGCGGUAACACCGGCGGCUCGAGUGGUAACCGCUAUUAUUGGGUCUAAAGGGUCUGUAGCCGGCUUAGUUAGUCUCUUGAGAAAUCUGGCCGCUCAACGGUCAGGCGUUCAGGGGAUACUGCUAAAGCUCGAGACCGGGAGAGGUGAGAGGUACUUCAGGGGUAGGGGUGAAAUCUUGUAAUCCUUGAAGGACCACCAGUGGCGAAGGCGUCUCACCAGAACGGAUCUGACGGCAAGGGACGAAAGCUAGGGGCACGAACCGGAUUAGAUACCCGGGUAGUCCUAGCCGUAAACGAUACUCGCUAGGUGUCGGCCACGGUGCGACCGUGGUCGGUGCCGUAGGGAAGCCGUGAAGCGAGCCACCUGGGAAGUACGGCCGCAAGGCUGAAACUUAAAGGAAUUGGCGGGGGAGCAC